rnacentral:rRNA from 1 species
AUGUACGGCCAUGCCACCCUGAAUGUGCCUGAUCUUGUCUGAUCUUGGAAGCUAAGCAGGAUUGGGCCUGGUUAGUACUUGCAUGGGAGACCGUGUAGAAAUACCAGGUGCUAUAGGCA